rnacentral:rRNA from 1 species
GUUCCAGCCGCCGCGGUAAAACGUAGGAGCCAAGCGUUAUCCGAAUUCACUGGGCGUAAAGCGCGUGCAGGCGGUCUGGUAAGUUGGGUGUGAAAUCUCCUGGCUCAACUGGGAGAGGACGUUCAAUACUGUCAGACUCGAGGGCGGUAGAGGGAGGUGGAAUUCCCGGUGUAGUGGUGAAAUGCGUAGAUAUCGGGAGGAACACCAGUGGCGAAAGCGGCCUCCUAGACCGCACCUGACGCUCAGACGCGAAAGCUAGGGGAGCAAACGGGAUUAGAAACCCUUGUAGUCC